ensembl:lncRNA
CUACCUGCACUGUGGGAAUGCCCGGUUGUGCACCCCCCUAUGGGACAAAGCCUUACAGUGCAUGGGAGAUGGCCUUGGAUCCCAGGUACCUACAGUAGGUCACCAAAACUGUGUCUGCUGAGUGACAAGGCUGAAAUAAGAGGGAUUAAACGAACAAAAGGUCAAAUACAAUGUUUAGGUAUUGUGUCUGUGUUAAGGCUUGUCCUGAAACAUUGGAAGAGCUCCAGUGUUCACACAGUGGAUGAAUCUGUUGAUACAAAACAACAGCGUAUGAAAUCGUGUUUGCGAAGAGGCUGGAGGAAAAUAAUACAGACUGUGUUUCCUUAAGGGUACAUAGAGGCGUGUAGAGGCGACAGGUAGCCUAGUGGUUAGAGUGUAGAGGCGGCAGGGUAGCCUAGUGGUUAGAGUGUAGAGGCGGCAGGUAGCCUAGUGGUUAGAGUGUAGAGGUGGCAGGGUAGCCUAGUGGUUAGAGUGUAGAGGCGGCAGGUAGCCUAGUGGUUAGAGUGUAGAGGUGGCAGGGUAGCCUAGUGGUUAGAGUGUAGAGGUGGCAGGGUAGCCUAGUGGUUAGAGUGUAGAGGCGGCAGGUAGCCUAGUGGUUAGAGUGUAGAGGCGACAGGUAGCCUAGUGGUUACAGUGUAGAGGCGGCAGGUAGCCUAGUGGUUAGAGCGUUGGGCUAGUAACCAAAAGGUUGCAAGUUCAAAUCCCGAGCUGACAAGGUACAAAUCUGUCGUUCUGCCCCUGAACAGGCAGUUAACCCACUGUUCCUAGCGUGUCAUUGAAAAUAAGAAUUUGUUCUUAACUGACUUGCCUUGUAAAAUAAAUGUUUUUUUUGUUUUGUUUAAUGAGUUUAUUAUUUUUGAAAGCUGUAAUUUGUAUUUAUAAAAUACUUUUCUGUACAAUAUUAUUUAUAGCUGCUCACCAUAUUGUGGCCCCCUUUCACCAUACAUUGGUAUCAGUCUGAUGGCACUAUGGUGUGAAAAGAGCGGCCGCUAAAUUAACAACACUGAGUAUACAAAACAUUAGGAACACCUAAUAUUGAGU